UGGGGAAUAUUGCACAAUGGGCGCAAGCCUGAUGCAGCCAUGCCGCGUGUGUGAAGAAGGCCUUCGGGUUGUAAAGCACUUUCAGCGAGGAGGAAGGUGGUGAACUUAAUACGUUCAUCAAUUGACGUUACUCGCAGAAGAAGCACCGGCUAACUCCGUGCCAGCAGCCGCGGUAAUACGGAGGGUGCAAGCGUUAAUCGGAAUUACUGGGCGUAAAGCGCACGCAGGCGGUUUGUUAAGUCAGAUGUGAAAUCCCCGGGCUCAACCUGGGAACUGCAUUUGAAACUGGCAAGCUAGAGUCUCGUAGAGGGGGGUAGAAUUCCAGGUGUAGCGGUGAAAUGCGUAGAGAUCUGGAGGAAUACCGGUGGCGAAGGCGGCCCCCUGGACGAAGACUGACGCUCAGGUGCGAAAGCGUGGGGCAGCAAACAGGAUUAGAUACCCUGGUAGUCCACGCUGUAAACGAUGUCGAUUUGGAGGUUGUGCCCCUUGAGGCGUGGCUUCCGGAGCUAACGCGUUAAAUCGACCGCCUGGGGAG
rnacentral:rRNA from 1 species